rnacentral:rRNA from 1 species
GGACCCCACUGCUAUCGGGAUGGGACUAAGACAUGUUAGUCGAGCGUCUCCAAGCUAUGAUGGAGGCGCGGCAUACAGCUCAGUAACACGUGGCUAACCUGCCCUUGGGACAAGGACAACCUCGGGAAACUGAGGCUAAUCCUUGAUAGGUGAGAACUCCUGGAAUGGAUUCUUUCUCAAAAGAUGCUUUGAUCAUGCUUCUAGGCAUCGCCCAAGGAGGGGGCCGCGGCCGAUCAGGUUGUUGGUGAGGUAACGGCUCACCAAGCCUCUGACCGGUACGGGCCGUGAGAGCGGAAGCCCGGAGAUGGGCACUGAGACAAUGGCCCAGGCCCUACGGGGCGCAGCAGUCGCGAAAACUCCGCAAUACACGAAAGUGUGACGGGGCUAUCCCGAGUGCCAUCCGCUGAGGAUAGCUUUUCCCCAGUGUAUAAAGCUGGGAGAAUAAGGAGAGGGCAAGACUGGUGUCAGCCGCCGCGGUAAUACCAGCUCUCCGAGUGGUGGGGAUGUUUAUUGGGCCUAAAGCAUUCGUAGCCUGCUAGCCAAGUCCUCCGUUAAAUCCACCGAUUCAAUCGUUGGGCUGCGGGGGAUACUGUCUAGCUAGGGGGCGGAAGAGGCCGACGGUAUCCCCGGGGUAGGGGUGAAAUCCUAUAAUCCCGGGUGGACCACCAGUGGCGAANGCUGUCGGCUAGAACGCGCUCGACGGUGANGGAUGAAAGCUGGGGGAGCGAACCGGAUUAGAUACCUGGNUAGUCCCAGCUGUAAACGAUGCNNGCU